AGUGAACGCUGGCGGUAGGCCUAACACAUGCAAGUCGAACGGCAGCACAGUAAGAGCUUGCUCUUACGGGUGGCGAGUGGCGGACGGGUGAGGAAUACAUCGGAAUCUACUUUUUCGUGGGGGAUAACGUAGGGAAACUUACGCUAAUACCGCAUACGACCUACGGGUGAAAGCAGGGGAUCUUCGGACCUUGCGCGAUUGAAUGAGCCGAUGUCGGAUUAGCUAGUUGGCGGGGUAAAGGCCCACCAAGGCGACGAUCCGUAGCUGGUCUGAGAGGAUGAUCAGCCACACUGGAACUGAGACACGGUCCAGACGCCUACGGGAGGCAGCAGUGGGGAAGAUUGGACAAUGGGCGCAAGCCUGAUCCAGCCAGACCGCGUGGGUGAAGAAGGCCUUCGGGUUGUAAAGCCCUUUUGUUGGGAAAGAAAAGCAGCAGGUUAAUACCCCGCUGUUCGGACGGUACCCAAAGAAUAAGCACCGGCUAACUUCGU
rnacentral:rRNA from 1 species